rnacentral:lncRNA from 1 species
CCUUAAUGUGCUUUCCAUAAUCUUGUACUAUACUUAUUGGUGACUAAGUUCUUUCUCUUGCUGUCAACUUACAUAAAGUAUUUAAACUAUACUGUCAAAAGCAGAAAUCUAUUGGUUCAAAAGCAAAAAAAAUUUUUCCAAAAUGUAAAUCUAAUAUGCAAUGACCUGAACUUUAGAAAACUGGCUUGAUUGAAUUAGGAUUAAUUUCUCCCUUUCAGAUGUUAAUAUAUUGAUUUCAGUUCUGCUAAGUGUAUUGUCUUCAGUCAUAUUUGGGAAGAAGUUAUUAGUAUAUACAUGAAUAUCCCCAAGUGUCUGUCCUUCUGUCAUUUCUUUACUCUGCAUUUUGAGACAUUCUUAAAAAAUGAAAUUUGGCAUUGUAUAUAGGUCUCUGUUCACAGUCAAGGAGAAAAGUCCCCAAAUGCACAAUUUACAAUUUUCUGUUUUUGUUUCUAACUCCAGUUUCAUCUUUUUUAGGUCCAUAAGCAAGACGCCUGUAAGUAAAAGGGUGAUGGUAUAAUCAACAGCCAUGUGAUAAGUCUUGGCCAAGCUUUUUUGGGUCAUACUUCCUAGAAACUUAGAAAGUGAGCUCUAAUAAUUAGGUAACACAUUUCUUCUUCUUCUUCUUCUUCUUCUUUUUUUUUUCAUUGGAUACAAAGUGUGAUAUAUUUUAUUUAAAAAUCAAUAUUUACAAUAUGCUAAUAAGUACAUAUUUUGAAGUUAUUCAAAUUUAUGAUGAAAAAUCUUAGGUGUCUGCUUGAAAAUGUGCAAGGGGAUACAUAGUUUUUCAAAGUUCCUUUAGGAAGUACGAGAGGAAUUAGUUCAAAGACCACUUAUUUAGCUGAUCAAAUCUUUACAGUUUUAACAGUUGAUGGUGACAAACUUCAUGGAGAAAAGUAGAUAAAAAGAAGGACAUACAUGGGUGUGUUGUUGAUAUGGGCUCUUGUGACAGAAAAGUAGGCUUGGUGAAAAAAACAAACAAAAUAACACAUAAUUCCCAAGUUCUUAAAUUUUUUUGGCCAGCACCUUUGAGACAUAGCAUAUCCAUUGUUUAUGAACUUUGCAAAGCAGAUUUAUGAGGUUGGUUUUUCUUUUGGAUGGGCUUAAUUAUGUUGGAGACCAAUAAUCCACUGUUUUAGCCAUAUUACCAUGUGCCUGGCACUGUGCUAAUUACUAGAGAUGCAGAGAUGAACAAGGAGAGAGGAUCCCUCAAGGAACUGACAGGAUAGAAGAAAAAGGGAAGUUAAACUAGUCUAAGUUGGAAAUCAAUGAUGAUGUGCUUUAAGUAUUUUUCAUUUGUAUUCCAUAUUUGCACAAAAAACUUGAGAUGGAUAAAGAUCUCCCUCAUCAUCCAACCUGUUGAGGAAUGGAACAGGACGGAAUAAAAUGGUGGAAGGAAGGUGAAUUUGCUCUCUCUUUUUGAGCUGGGACAUCUGUCUUUUCCUGCUCUCUGACAAUGGUGCUCUUAGUUCUUGGGCCUUUGCACUUGGGCUGGUUUGUACCACCAGCUAAGCUUUCCUAGGUCUCCAGCUCACAGACAGCAGAUUGAGGGACUUCUCAGCCUCCAUAAUCAUGGGAGCCAAUUCCAUAUUUCUCUAUCUCUAUACCUCCUAUGGGUUCUGUUUCUCUGGAGAACCCUGACUAAUACAAAUGGUUUAUAGUACAAGAUUCUCUGAAUCCUUGGGGUUUGGAUCUUGAUGUUUAAAGUUAAUGCUCUAAAAUUUAAAAGAAAAAAAAAAGAAAAUCCCUUUUUUCUUCUCUCAAACUCUUGCUACUUACAAUAGAGAGCCAUACCCCCAACCCUAAAUGUGCCCAAUUUCAUCUGAUCUAGGAAGCUAAGCCCAACUAGCGUUGGGCCUAGUUAGUAUUUAGAUGGGAGAAAACCAGGCCCCUGUAGGCCAUGGUUUCUGGUGUCCAUUUACCAAACUCUCCUCUGUAGUUCAUGAUCAAUGGCUUUUGUUCUGCCUGGAUGGUCCUACCCUGUUGUACCCAGAAAGUGUCUGCUGACUGCUGAAUGGUGGGUGAAAAGAAAGGGCAAUAGGAAUUAGAAAGCAUGUGGUUUAAUAAUUUUUAAAAAUUCCCUACUUUAAUUAGGAAGUGAUGCAUAUUUCUGGAAUUUUCACCAAGAGAUCAUGGUGUUUCUAGGAAGCUGGCUAACUACGCCUGAUAUAUUUAAAAAACAAAAAAACCCCAAACCCAAAAAACUACAACCUACUCAAUUACAUUGCAACUUGCCGGGAAUUAAGUAAUGGUGUUCUCAGAACUGUAGAGUACAAUGUAAUCAGUGUUUAUCUGAUUCUGUGCUGAAGAGUCUGGGCUUAACUUCCUGAGGACCAGCAGGCUACCUAGCUGGUAAUGUCUCUAGAAUGGAGAGCAGCUCAUCCAAGAGCCCAGCUUUUGAGGGCAUAGAGUUGAUGAAUUUCAUGGGAAAGGCAGGACCCUUCACUCCAACUUCUAGCUGUUUGAUAGCAAUUCUCAAGCUUUAGUAUGAAUACAAGUCAUUUAGGAAGAUUGUUUAAUAAUAUAGAUUCCUUGAACCCCCAUACAGAUCAUCUGAUUCAUAGGUCUGGGUUGGGGCCUAGGAAUUUACAUUUUUGCAUACUUCUUCUGGACCAUGUUUU